rnacentral:lncRNA from 1 species
GAAAUGCAGGCAGCCGCCAUCCAUGUUACCCAAAUGGAGACGCAAACUUGGCCGCGCCAUCCUUGAGUCCAUGCUUCUACAUAGGCCUACUACAUCUUACACCUUCAUUCCAUUCUUUCUAGUGUACUUAUUAGCUCUUGAAUCGUUGGACUUGUAACACCGGAUGGAGUUUGGAGACAGUAUCUUCUUCUAGUUGUGUAUCUUGAAUGGUUAUAUGUUACGAUUUGCAGCUGUUGCUUUUCUUCCCUAAAUUUAAGGCGAUUUCUACUUUUACUUGACCAAAAUGUUCGGUUCUUCAAAAUAUUAUCUGACAGUAUGCUUAUCUUUGUGGUAAAAAAGGUCCUGGUUAUAGUUUUCAAGGUGACUUGUUGAUUGUUGAAGGCAGCAUUAGGAAUGUGCACAACAUGACAAGUUAAUUGCCAACAUUAAAUCAGUUGGGGCAUGUUUGGUUGCCUGCAUCUUUUGUCUCAGUGGGCCAGGUUGAGUUGCCUGUAUUUGUGCUAUUGGUAUGCAAAGCAGAGCUGUUUUGCUCAUCCCGUGGUGGUCUUACACACAAAUGCAGCACUUCAUAUCAUACAUAACAUAAGAACAACAUAAUACAAUUAACAGUACAAAUAAAAACAAUAGCUAAAUAGUUCAGAAUAGCUAAUUAGACCAUAGUUUAAGACAUCAAAGGCAUCCCAUGCCCCUGCACGACCCUAGGGUGUUGAACCCUGAGCAAAAUAUAUAGUUUUGCACUAAGUUGAGCAAAAUAUACAGUUUUGCAGUAAGUUCAGACGAUCAAGCCUAGCCCGGAGAGCCACAUGACGAGCAAGUCGCUGUGGAUGAUUGUGUGGCGCCGACAGAAGUAGUCUCAACUGCUCCCGAGCACCAUCUGCCCCUGAAAUGUAUGGCCCUACACCUAGAACUCACACCACUUGUUGGCAGAGGCUGACAACACCAGGAGGGUUGACGACUGCCAUUUCUUUAUCACCGUCCUAAAGGCAGGCGGGAUGACCAGCAUGGUGAUCUCUUCCUCGUUCUUGAUUUGCACGUAGAACCCGACUGACGUCCGUGUAUAUAGAGUAAAUUGCUCAAAGCCACUACAUUUGUGGCUAGAGUACUCUAAAACCACCACUUUUGCCAGAAAUCACAAAAAACCACCACUUCCGCGGCAAGUGAGUAACAAAUCACACUGAUUUGGAAUUGAACGCAUCUAACAGCAAAACUGACAUGUGGGACCCGUCUAUCCGGGCUGAUGUGGCAAAGACUAGUCCUAGUCAAUGGUUGACCUGCUAAGGUGGACGGGGGUCCUACCUGUCAGCCGCACCUAUUGUCUUCUCUCUCCUCUCCUUCUUCUCGAUAAAGCGGAAUCCCAGCCGCCACGCCAUGGCCGGCGCAGAGAGAAGCAGGCCGCGCCCGCCUAGCUCCCCUCCUUCUCCUAAUCCAGCGGAAGGCGCCCGCCGGUGCCGGAGCUCUACGCCGCCGGUGGCGCCACGCCCUGCCUCCCCCAUUUCUCCUAGAUCCGGUGGGAUCCCAGCGCCGGCAAGCCAAGGUCGGGCGAACUCCUCCUAGCCUCGACGCCCCGCCCCGCUACGACAGCCACUGCUGCUGGCCAUGGCCAGAGGCGAGCUCCUUCCCCUCACGCCACAGGCAACCUCUCCCAUCCUUGUCUUCCUCGCGAGCGCUGGCACGAGAGCCACGGGAGCCAGAGGCGGGGAAGAUGUGCUGCUCGCCAUGGCAACGCUGGUGGCGGCGACGCACCGGGAACCCCAAGGCGCGGCUAGCGGACUUCUUCGCAGGCUUCGGCUCCGGCGGCGUGCUGGUGGCGCGCGACACCGACGACGCGCGUCGACUCUCUCCCUGUCUUCCUCGCGAGCGCCGACACGAGAGCCACAUGAGCCAGGGCGGGGAAGGUGUGCUGCUCACCGUGGCAACGCUGCUGGCGGCGGCGCACCGGGAACCCCUAGGCGCAACUAGCGGACUUCUUCGCAGCCUCCGGCGUGCUGGUGGCCACGGCACCGACGACGCACGUCGACUCUUCUCCGCGGAGGACGCGCUAGUGAGUGGGGAGGCCUGGUGAGAGGGGACCGGCUCGCCGUGCGCAGAGGAGGGGCGGAGCUCGUCGAGGUGCGGACGGAGGGGCAACAUCGCCGGAGAAGUGCUGGACCGACGGAGUAGGUGUUGUGCGUGCACAUGAAGUACUCGACGAAAUGCCAGAGCCUAGUCACCUGUCUACGUGUUUAUUCUUUGCCAAGUCAGCCUGCAUGUGGGCCAGGCAUGUCAGUUUUUCACUUAGUCACGGCUGACAGCUCGUUUAGUGCAUUUUGUUACUCACUUGCCGCGGAAGUGGUGGUUUUUUGUGAUUUCUGACAAAAGUGGUGGUUUUGGAGUACCCUAGUCACAAAUGUGGUGGCUUUCAGCAAUUUACUUGUGUAUAUACGGUUCAAAUCUCGUUUUUAUACAUCCAUCCAUACGCUGAUGAGGCAUGCUAGGGUGUCAGGGACAAGGCGUGUGGCCUGCUUUUGUUUUGCGGAAAACCCCCCAAAAUAGUUGUUUUCUUAUAAAAAAGGCCCUCAAAGAAAAACUAAUAAAUUGUAAAAUUAACUAUUAAUCAAUUUAUAAUAUCUAAAAAUAGUCCGGGGUUCGAACCAGCGACAGAGGUGUGCGUGGCUAGCCAGCUGACCGGUUCAAAUUUGAAGGUGUUUGGUUCGCAAUUUUACACCCGGUAUCUGAUUACAUCGCAAACCGAUACCGUUAAUCGUGUUUGCUUCGCUUUGCAGAUCCCACAUAGACACGUCCCAUCACAGUUUACGUUACAGCCAGAGCGAGCCGACUCGGGCGAAUUCUUCUGGCUUCGAUCCCCAAUCCCGGCCCAGUCCCGUGCUAGCUGCCUAGACGUGGGGUUCCUGUUUGUUUCAUUUCUUUUUACGCUGGGGCUCUCAUUUUCUUGCCGGUAUCCAUUACCGUUAGACACUUAACCAAACAAGAAUGGAUUUUGGCCGAUAUCGUUUACAUCAACGGAGUAAACCCAUUACGUUUACGUUUCCGUUCCACUUCUGGAACCAGACACCUUAGUGUUAAGAAAGGAUUCGUAUGAUCCUAAAAAAAAGGAAUCGUAUACUUUGUAAACAUAAAGCUGAACGACAUAAACUAAACUUUUUUAUUCGCAGCCGCCCAUACUACUCCGACCGACAACAUCAGAUGGCAAAAUGAUAGAUUUAGGUUUAUGACAUAACGAGCCCUUCCUGAAGGCGUUGCUGUUGAAGAAUCCCGUCAUUCGCGCGGUGCCAUGACAUAGUUGAUGCGGAUAUGGUCAUUGUUGUAGUCUACCUAUUAUGGAUUUGGUCGCUCAGAUUUUUUUUCUUCAUCGUCUACGCGUGGCUUUGGUCUUAUAUGACUUUGCUAUUUGCUGACGUGAUGUUGUGUGCGUGCGUUAGUGUUGGCUGUGUGCAUCCUAGCUAUGCAGAGGCCGGGUGUGCUCAUUAUGUUUGUAUCCUCUUGAUGCCUCAUUUUAAGCUAAUAAAAUACAUUCUUUGUCGAGAAAAAUGACAUAACGAGCCCGUGUGGCUAAAACGGACCACAGUGUGGCUCAGUUUUGAACGUGUUUGUUUUUUUCAUUUCAUUUUUAAAAUAUAUUAAUUAUAAUUGUGUGUUACAAACAAUAUACAAUAUUUAAAACAAAUUACGUUAAAAUGUUUAUACUAUUUCAUAAAAUACAUAUGCAAUAUUUUAACAGAAAUAUACAUAAUAAAAUUAUGAGUUAAGAAUAUAUUUUAUAAUUUGAAAAAAAUGUUUGCAUUUUAAUAAAAUAUUAAUGUAAUUUUAGAAAUGUUCAUAUAUUUUAAAAAAUUCUCAUAUAAUUUUGAAAUUUCCACAUUAUUAAUAAAUUAUUUAUGUAGUCUAUCAGUGUGUUCAUGCUUUAAUUAAAAAGGUGUUAUUUUAAAAGGUUUAUAUAGUAUAUAAGUUUGUGCGUUUCUAUAAAAAAUAAAUGCAAGCCUAGUGCGCCAUUAGACUGCGUAUCCUCACAUGAAUAAUAGUUGAAUCAUCUAAACAUUUUGAUCUUCAUAAAUAGUUUCAAUUGUAUGAAUAUAUUUUAAAAUAACACAUGAUUUUAUUUCAGGAUACACGUGAAUUCUUUUGAUACAUGACAAUUCAUUGGUUGGAGUGACAUCCGUGCCUGGUCUACAAGCUUUGGUCCGAUGUGCAGAUCACAGAGCCGGUGCUGUUUUUGCUGGAUUAUUAAAUUCCUUUUAUUUAUUUUGUUCGGUCCAAUGUUUAUAAAGGUUAUAAAUCAUUAAAUAUUAGCAAAUGUGAAGUUGUCGAGCACACGCUCUGGACUGGUAGGUUGCAGGCUCGAGCCACCACAUGACAAGUUUUAGUUUUUAUUUUAUAGUUUAUCAGUUUCUCCCCGAGGGCCUUCUUGUAAGAAAAAUAAUUUUGGGAGUUUUCCGCAAAAACCAAGCCAAACACCCUUGUCUCUGGCAGCGGGUCCCAUGGCAUGCUGGCACGCCUCGUAAGUAUACAAACAUCAUUUAAACCAAAUAUGCACGUCUAUGCCAAGUUAUGAAACCGGUUCAAUGUAUUUUUCAAGGCACUAGAAUGCAUAUUCAUGACAAGUUCAAGCACCACAGAUGUAUUUACCUCGGAAAGUAAUAAAAAACACACACAAGAAAAUCAGAAAAAAAAACCCCGGGCCAAAACUAGAACAGCCAGCGAGAUUUCCAGAAUGGUCAAAAACUUAGUCUGGCCACGGAUUACUUUAAGGGAAUCUUGGGUCAGCCUGCCCCCUCGAUGAACACAGUGGACGUACACUCACUAUACACUUCACUUGAUCUAUCUGCCCUGACGGUACGGUUUUCUUGGGCUGAAAUCAUACAAGCCAUCAGCUGCUCACCCAAUAACAGAAGUCCAGGCCCUGACGGUUUCACCAAUGAGUUUUACAAGGCUUUCAAGUUGCUGCUAAAGGAUGACCUGCUCCACUUUUUUUAUGAUUUCCACAGAAAUGUGGUUGAUCUUACUGGUAUUAACUCCGCUUUCAUCACCCUGCUACCUAAAAAGAUACGCCCCUAGAGAUGCGGGACUUCAGGCCGAUUUCCCUCGUACAUAGCAUACCCAAACUGGUUUCUAAGGUUCUGGCUUGUAGGCUGAAAGCAUGGAUUCCUCUCUUGAUUCACUCUCUCCAGUCUGGCUUCUUGCGGGGCAGAUCGAUUAUAGAAAACUUUACCCUGGCUGCCGAAAUGAUCCAAUACGCACACAAACGGAAAAUGCUAGUCAUUGCUUUGAAGUUGGAUUUUCACAAAGCUUUUGACAGCGUCAGUUGGUCCUGUUUGCACAAAGUACUUGAAGCCAGAGGGUUUUCUCGGCUGUGGAUUAGUUGGAUUCAAAUGCUUUUGUCAACCGGCAGCUCUAAAGUCCUUAUUAAUGGCCAGCUGGGUGCCCCCAUCCGGGCUAAGCGUGGUUUUCGGCAAGGCGAUUCCUUAUCCCCUUAUCUUUUCAUUAUCGUUGCGGACGUGCUACAGAGAAUGUGCUGCAAAUUGUUCCAAGAUGGUUCCUUGCUGCACCCACUUGGUUCAGACAGUUUCUUCCCGGUUCUGCAAUACGCGGAUGACAUGCUGAUUCUUUUCCAAGGCACUACGCACCAGGCGGCAGUUGUUAAGUCAGCGCUCACAACUUUCUCUGCUUUCUCUGGGCUCACCAUAAAUUUCCACAAGAGCACUCUCGUACCUGUUGCCGCGGAGACCAUCACUGCUUCGGCCAUCGCGCAGAUCCUAGGCUGCCCCGUUUCAUCCUUUCCAUGCAACUACCUGGGCCUGCCUCUCUCUCUGCACAAGAUUACGCAUGGUAUGUUACUGCCUGUUAUACACAAGGUCGACCGUCGUCUUUCGGGCUGGUUAGCUACUUUCCUAUCCUUAGGGGGUAGAUUGACCCUUAUCAACUCAGUGAUCGUUGGUAUCCCAAGUUAUUUCAUGUCAUGCUUUCCCUGGCCCAAGGAAUCUCUUGGAAAAUUGGAAAGUCUCUCACGUGCUUUUUUCUGGCAAGGCAAGAAUAAGGUCAAGGGGGGUCAAUGCUUAGUAGCUUGGGAUACAGUCUCGUCACCUCGUAUCAAUGGCGGUUUGGGUAUCCGUCAGCUGCAGGCUCACAACCAAGCUAUGAUGUGCAAGUCUGUCUCCAAAGUUAUACAAGGUUCGGACAUACCAUGUUAUAACUGGUUCGCCACACAUUAUUGCCGGGCUAUCCUUCCACAAAGUGCUAGUAGCAGAGACACUGCCAUCUGGAAAGGGUUCAAAGAUCUUGUUCCUAUGGUCAUCAACUCCUCUAAAUGUGUUCUGGGGUCUGGUCUUUUGAUUUCAUUCUGGAAGGACCAGUGGCUUGAAGCGGGGCGUUUAUACCAGUUGUUCCCCAUGCUGUAUUCCUUCGCGAUCCAGCCAGAUUUCUCCGUGCACUCACAACACUCCAACGGUUCAUGGGCUAUUCAGCUACACCCUAAUCUCUCUCAAACAGCCUCAGCCGAGCUUGCUGUCCUGCAUGAUUUGUUGCUGGGCAUUGCUCCGAACUUACUGCAUGAGGACCAACGGACUGCUUCUGUGAGCUCUGGACAACUUUGCACUGGUUAUUUCUACAGGCUACUCACUUUCCGGGGGGUUUUGUCAACUCUUGGCACCUGGGUUUGGGAGGCAAUGACCCCCCUCAAGCACAGAAUCUUCCUAUGGCUUUCUUUCCGUGAUCGUCUAAACACUAAGGAUAACAUGGUAAAGAAGGGUUGGUCCGAGGCUUCCCCGUUUGCGCAUUGUGACACUUGCCCCGCUGUUGAGACCAUCGAUCACUUAAUACUACGAUGUGCAUCCGCCAGUGUUCUUUGGGGCAAGUUGGAACUUGACGUUUUGGCUUGCUCAACUACUAACGUUCUAUCUUUUAUGGAGCAAGCGCAACACCAGCUCAGUUUCAAGAAAAAUGGAAUGUUGCUUUCACGGCUUGUGCUGUCACCUUUUGGCAUGCUAGGAAUGACAGAGUCUUCAACUCAAAAGACUGGUCUGUAACAUACACCUGUUUAUAUGCAGCAGGCAUGCUCCGUCUUUGGAGUCUCAGAACUCAAAGCCAGCGUACCAGGGAGGUUCUCCAGGUUUGGAGACACAAGCUGCUGCAUAAUUCGUAGACGCCUGAUGUAAUCUUCCCCUCCUCUCUUCCUCCCUCCCUUCUUUCCCUUUUUUCGAUGCUUGUGCUUUGCACCUUGGUGCACCACACAAGCUGCACUUGUACUUGUACCUGCUACUUCAUCAGGCUCUGGCCUGUUUUGAAAUAUAAGGUCGGCAGCCUGCCACCUUCUUUGUUUUAAAAAAAAGAACAGCCAGCGAGCGAAUCAUCAAUCACGAAGCGAGCCAGAAGAAGCAUGUGCCUCGGAUCGUGGGGAGCGCCGCAACCUUUCCGUCGCUCGAAACUGCGUGCUCUGCAGUAACUCCAGGGAAAUGGCUGGCCAUCUUGCAGUUGGCUACCAUUUCUCUCGUGAAGUUUGGUGGCCACGCUGAGGCGUUGCGGUCUUGCUCACCACACAGACACCGACCAUUUACACGUUGUGUGCCUGGUGGCCUCACACUCGGAAUGUACUCUCCAAACCGGCAUGCAAAAGAUUCGACAUCCUGGCACUGCUCACCCUCUGGAAACUAUGGACUUUCAAUGGCGCCCCGAGCACCACUAGGCAGGUCUACGCCGUCAUCGCAAUGGAGGGCGACUUAUGGAAGAAGGCAGCACCGCUGCUGGGUUGCAAGCUAUUUGGAAACAGUGGCGUGUGUGUAGAUUGGUAGGCAUAGUUUAAAUUCGAAAGAUGCGGGACCAAACUCUUCUAUCUGGUGUAACUCACGGUGCCAACUCUCGUCCAAUUAACAAGAUACUAUAUUGAAUCCUUCAAAGAAAACACAAGAUAUAUUGAAACCUACCGACUGCAUGUGAAGCUAGUAAAUACAUUAAUUGGAGCUAGCUUUUGGACCAUACUCAUGUGUGGUGUGCGGCUAUAUAUUGCACACACAUAUAUGUGAAAUUCAUAAUUUAGUUGUGCUAGCAACAAAAGUAGAAGGGAUAUAUCAGGGUCAAUAUACAAUAGUUCAAUCUACUGGGUGUGCAACCACUACGGUAUUAGAGAUUGGUCAUUUAGCUAUACUCGCAGUGACCAUACACAUUGGAAAAGGAGACAUCUGGAAAUGAGGGGAAACAAUAUGCUUAGAACUAGAUCGAAGAUAUCUAUGGCGUCGAGCACCCUACAUGGUAGGACACCAUAUAGGACACCAUGUAGUCUGUUGCCUCAAGCUUUCUUUUGUUUUGAAAGAUCCAUCUGGUGCCUGGCUUUAUAUUGAUCAAAGCAGGGAGCAUAUGGGAAGAGUACAAAGGUGUAUUGUGAUCCAAGGAUCAAUGAGAAAAUAAAAAAAAGAGGCGCCACUAGGCAACCCUUCCAGCUCCUAACAAGCUUGCCAUGAUACUACUAAGUCUUGGCUAAAUUCUCGCACUUUCAUCCCCAAAAGGGGGCUCAAUGAAUUUUACACUCGCCUGGCACCAGAGUUCAAAAUUGCGUCUGACAACUAUAAUGCCGCUCACCGAAGCAAUCUUGGCUCGGAAAGUGCACUCAUUUCUUUCUUGCCAGAUCCUCCAAAGUAUUAGCAGCGCUAGGUCUUCGGCGGCUUUUUGAACUUUGAUUGGGCCGCGUUGAUCAAACACACUCAAAAUCAUAGUCUUUACUAUCAAACACAUGCGAACUGGCUGGGAUUUAUGAAAAAGCCCUCUCGACUACCGUUGCUUAUGAAGCUGCUUUUUCCUCAACGUCAGACGAUCUGUUUUCAUUAUUUGAAAAUAAUAAUAAUUUGCGCCUAGCUGGUGUUGAAUGUUUCUUUUGCUGGCACGCAAGCAGAGGAUAUUCACCAACCGCCUCCACCGAAGCUUGUCUGUGUUGUAAAGAAGCCGAAUCAAAAGCUCAUCUUCUCAUACAUUGCUCAGUUCCUAGGGUGAUGUGGACGAUUAUUGACUCUCUCAACAUUACUCCGGACGACUACACCUCCUUAACUCCUUUCAUGUUGAGUCAUCUCCGAGCCGGCAAAUAAAGUAAGGAACGCAGUAAUUAUGGCUCGCUUAUUGAAUAUCUAGAAGUGCCGGAGCGCACAAGUUUUCAGGAACUAGAAUGAAGACCUUCAAGUUGUCAUCUCUAGGUCUGCAAAUGAUAUUUUUCGUUGGUCAAACAGAUGUGAAAAUGAAUCCAAUCCAAAAGGCGAAUAGUCUAUGACAAUUGACAAAGACUUAAUGUGUGUGUCUUUGUUUCUGGAGUAGUUUGGGUAGCUUUGUUCUUAUCUCCCCGCUUCUUUGUAUAUGGCAGUGACGGUGUCAAAACCGGCGGAUCUCGGGUAGGGGGUCCCAAACUAUGCGUCUAAGGUCAAUGGUAACAGGAGACAGGGGACACAAUGUUUUAGCCAGGUUCGGGCCCUCUCUAUGGAGGUAAUACCCUACGUCCUGCUUGAUUGAUCUUGAUGAAUAUGAGUAUUACAAGAGUUGAUCUAUCACGAGAUCAUAAUGGCUAAACCCUAGAGGCCUAGGUUGUAUGGUUAUGAUAAUGUAUAUCUCCCUCCGGACUAAGUCCUCCGGUUUAUAUAGACACCGGGAGGAUCUAGGGUUAGACAAGGUCGGUUACAAAGAAAGGAAUCUACAUAUUUGGUCGCCAAGCUUGCCUUCCACGUCAAGGAGAGUCCCAUCCGGACACGGGUGCCAUCUUCGGUCUUCGUAUAUUCACAGCCCAUCAGUCCGGCCCAUGGCUAACAGGCCGGACGCCCGAUGACCCCUUAGUCCAGGACUCCCUCAGUACCCCCUGAACCUAGCUUCAAUGACAACGUAUCCGUCGCGUAGAUCUGUCUUCGGCAUUGCAAGGCGGGUUCCUUCCUCCGAACUCCAAGAUAGUCUUCGGACGUAUUUGAACGUGUCCGGACCUUUGUAUUGAUCUUAUAUUUAUUGACCUUUGUAUUGCUGCUCAAUGUUCUAAGCAUGGAUAUAAUGACUCUCUCAUUUUGUUAUUAUUGCCAUGUAAAUGUUGUCAUUACUUGUUUAUUUGGUAUAGUAAGUACAUUUGAUUGAGACUAAUAUCCUGUUACUUGACAUGGCAGUGACUAUCUCUUUAAGCUUCUGCUCAUCGGAGACUCAGGUGUUGGCAAGUCAUGCCUUCUCUUAAGAUUUGCCGUAAGAAUCCCUAUCUAAAGCAUGAUUUGUCCACUAUCUUUUAUAGGUCUUCCCUUUUUUAAUAUGCAUCUUCAUCUUAAAAGUUUGAUACAAGUUGUCUUCGGGAUAUCAUGGAAACUGUCAAUUUAUUUUUAGCCUCAGUAAACUGUAUGAUUUCCCACUACUUAAUACGAAUGAGGAGUUCAUUGUUGGUAGCUACUGUUUCUUAACAACAUGGAGAUGACCCCUAUAACAUUCUUGUUGUUACUAGUUAAUUUACUCUGACCUCCUUAAUAUUGACUCUUUUGGCAGGAUGACUCGUACCUGGAGAGUUAUAUCAGUACUAUUGGUGUUGAUUUCGUAAGUAUAUUUACUUUCUUGGUCUGAGUGUUGAUGUUCUGGCUACCUUAAUUGAACUUGUAGUUUUGUUUUCUUCCAACUUUGUCGAUAGAAAAUACGUACCGUGGAGCAAGAUGGAAAGACUAUGAAGCUGCAAAUCGUGAGUCUAUUCUUUCUUUCAUUAUGUCCAGUAUGCAUGUACCAUCAAAUCCAGAUUGUACAUCGAAUCCAGAUUUGACAAAAUAGAAGACUUUAUCGGGAAACAUUUCAUUUAUAGCCCUCUUCUGUUUUGUGGAGUUUGCUAGAUUUUCCCUUUGCAUAAUAUAGCAUGCCGUUAUUCAUCAGUAUUUAUGUGGUUGUUAGUUGAGGCCAGUUCACAGGAAACAGAAACUCCACUAUGCCUGAAUAUGUAGGCAGUUGCACAACCCCUUUUUACCUUUUGGAUUUUUUAGUUCCAUCCAUUUAAAUUACUGUUGAACAUAAAGAAUAAGAGUAGUUUAGCCCAUUAAAUUAAAUGUUAUAAAGUUUCUUAGUUCGCAUAAAGAAUCGCACUUUCAAGAUGUUUUUAGAUACCAAAGUGAUGCCCAUUUUGAACAUCAUAUUUAGGGGCCUGAUAGUAUGUCAUUUAAAUACUUGGGUGGUACGGUAGAUCAUGCUGCACCUACUGUUGGCAUUUGGCGAUUCUUCCUUCCUUUUGUGUGACACAUUACAUUUAGUGAUGCAAGAUAUCAUUUUCCUUUUCUUUAAACCCCUCUUUGGUACCUUUGUUUUUAUCAGUGGGACACUGCUGGGCAAGAACGCUUCAGAACUAUUACUAGCAGCUACUAUCGAGGGGCUCACGGGAUCAUUGUAAGUUUGUUUAUGUGAAAUCUUAUUUUUAUUUUUCACAUGCUAUUUAACAUGCAUAAAUGUCCACUUUUCAUAUAUUUUGAAUACAUAUAUACAAAUGGGGUUGCAGAUUGUCUAUGACGUGACAGACCAGGACAGCUUCAACAAUGUGAAGCAGUGGUUGAACGAGAUUGGUCACUAUGCUAGUGAGAAUGUUAAACAAGCUUCUUAUAGGGAACAAAUCUGAUCUCACUGACAAAAGAGUUGUAUCAUAUGAGACAGCGAAGGUACCUUAUGCUUUACUCAUAUCUGCUGAAGCAUUUUUUCUGCUCUUUGUGUUUACAUUUGGUGUAUGCAGGCAUUUGCUGAUGAGAUUGGCAUCCCAUUCAUGGAGACCAGUGCAAAGAAUGCCUUGAACGUUGAGCAGGCUUUCAUGGCUAUGUCUGCUUCAAUCAAGGACAGGUGUGUGUUCCCAGACGGUUUAAUUAGCACAGGCCAUCCUACCAGUACACUUUUUUUUAACUACCAUCAUUUUACACUUUAUUUAUUGCUCAUUGAUGCUCUGUUCGUAUAGUAUCAUAACCAAAAUUGUCCUACACUCUUUAGCAUGUUGCUGUUAACUGUUCUAUGUUAUUCCUCACGGUGUUGUUCUAUAUACACCUCAUAGAAAGAGCAUAUAAUUAUGAAUACAAAUCUUGGUUUCCAGGAUGGCGAGCCAGCCAGCCGCAAACAACACUCGCCCAGCCACGGUGCAGAUACGCGGGCAACCUGUCGAACAGAAGACGAGCUGCUGCUCUUCUUGAAAUGCAGGCAGCCGCCAUCCGUGUUACCCAAAUGGAGACGCAAACUUGGCCGCGCCAUCCUUGAGUCCAUGCUUCUACAUAGGCCUACUACAUCUUACACCUUCAUUCCAUUCUUUCUAGUGUACUUAUUAGCUCUUGAAUCGUUGGACUUGUAACACCGGAUGGAGUUUGGAGACAGUAUCUUCUUCUAGUUGUGUAUCUUGAAUGGUUAUAUGUUACGAUUUGCAGCUGUUGCUUUUCUUCCCUAAAUUUAAGGCGAUU